UCUGCAUCACUUUUGCUUUCGAACUCUAUAGUAUCUCUUUGUCCGGCGGCAUCGUUGGACUUCAAUUGCUUAAACUGCCGCCGCCAUCUUAUAAAUUGUCAGUACCAUGGCGGAGGUAGAAGAAAACCCUAAUAUAGUAGUUGCAGAAGAGGAGUUAAUUAAGAAGAAGAGAAAGAGAAAGAGAGACAAGAAGAAUAAAAUGGCCAUAGAAAAAGAGACGAAGAAGGAAGAAGAAAGCGAGGGCAUAGAAGAAGAAGAGAAUGAGGAAGAAGAGCAGCAUAACGAACUGAAGGAGGAGAUUAAGAAAGAGAUGAAGAGUGGUUCCGGUAUUAUGACUACGGAGUUGU
rnacentral:lncRNA from 1 species